GAACGCUGGCGGCGUGCUUAACACAUGCAAGUCGAGCGGAAAGGCCCUUCGGGGUACUCGAGCGGCGAACGGGUGAGUAACACGUGAGUAACCUGCCCUAGGCUUUGGGAUAACCCUCGGAAACGGGGGCUAAUACCGGAUAUUCAUUCCCGGCGGCAUCGUUGGGUGUGGAAAGUUUUUCGGCUUGGGAUGGGCUCGCGGCCUAUCAGCUUGUUGGUGGGGUGAUGGCCUACCAAGGCGACGACGGGUAGCCGGCCUGAGAGGGCGACCGGCCACACUGGGACUGAGACACGGCCCAGACUCCUACGGGAGGCAGCAGUGGGGAAUAUUGCACAAUGGGCGGAAGCCUGAUGCAGCGACGCCGCGUGAGGGAUGAAGGCCUUCGGGUUGUAAACCUCUUUCGACAGGGACGAAGCGUGAGUGACGGUACCUGGAGAAGAAGCGCCGGCCAACUACGUGCCAGCAGCCGCGGUAAGACGUAGGGCGCGAGCGUUGUCCGGAUUUAUUGGGCGUAAAGAGCUCGUAGGCGG
rnacentral:rRNA from 1 species